GAUGAACGCUGGCGGCGUGCCUAAUACAUGCAAGUCGAGCGAACGGACGAGAAGCUUGCUUCUCUGAUGUUAGCGGCGGACGGGUGAGUAACACGUGGAUAACCUACCUAUAAGACUGGGAUAACUUCGGGAAACCGGAGCUAAUACCGGAUGAUAUUUUGAACCGCAUGGUUCAAAAGUGAAAGACGGUCUUGCUGUCACUUAUAGAUGGAUCCGCGCUGCAUUAGCUAGUUGGUAAGGUAACGGCUUACCAAGGCAACGAUGCAUAGCCGACCUGAGAGGGUGAUCGGCCACACUGGAACUGAGACACGGUCCAGACUCCUACGGGAGGCAGCAGUAGGGAUUCUUCCGCAAUGGGCGAAAGCCUGACGGAGCAACGCCGCGUGAGUGAUGAAGGUCUUCGGAUCGUAAAACUCUGUUAUUAGGGAAGAACAUAUGUGUAAGUAACUGUGCACAUCUUGACGGUACCUAAUCAGAAAGCCACGGCUAACUACGUG
rnacentral:rRNA from 1 species